UUUAUGAUGAAAUUAAUUGGUCCGUGUUGAUGAUUUCUUUGAUUUAAUCUUCUCCAAUUACUGAAUCUG
rfam:Anopheles sinensis unplaced genomic scaffold AS2_scf7180000695809, whole genome shotgun sequence.